rnacentral:rRNA from 1 species
UCCUACGGGAGGCAGCAGUGGGGAAUAUUGGACAAUGGGCGCAAGCCUGAUCCAGCCAUGCCGCGUGGGUGAAGAAGGCCUUAGGGUUGUAAACCCUUUCAGCGGGGAAGAUAAUGACGGUACCCGCAGAAGAAGCCCCGGCUAACUCCGUGCCAGCAGCCGCGGUA